GGAUUAAACUUGAGAGUUUGAUCCUGGCUCAGGACGAACGCUGGCGGCAGGCCUAACACAUGCAAGUCGAACGAGAAGCGAUUCUUCGGAAUCGUGGAAAGUGGCGAACGGGUGAGUAACGCGUGGGCACCUGCCCUUUGGUGGGGAACAACCGCUGGAAACGGCGGCUAAUACCGCAUAAGCCCCUAGGGGGAAAGCUUUAUGCGCCGAAUGAUGGGCCCGCGUCGGAUUAGCUUGUUGGUAGGGUAACAGCCUACCAAGGCGACGAUCCGUAGCUGGUCUGAGAGGAUGAUCAGCCACACUGGGACUGAGACACGGCCCAGACUCCUACGGGAGGCAGCA
rnacentral:rRNA from 1 species